CGGAGCGUAGCUCAAUCGGUAGAGCAGCCGAUUUAUACUCGGUAAGCGCUGGAUAAGCCGCAGGUUGCCGGUUCGAACUGGCCGCUCUGACCA
rnacentral:tRNA from 1 species